GACAUUAUAUUUUGUUUACGUUUGUGUUGGUAUUUGUUUGCCGGAUUAUUUAAUGUCUCCAUUUGACUAGAGAUAUAAGUAUUAUUAUUUUUAAGGGAUGAGAAGUUA